rnacentral:rRNA from 1 species
UUUAGUCGCGCAGUAUAGGUGGGAGGCGUUGAAAAUAUUCUUGCGGGAAUAUUGGAGCCAUCAGUGAGAUACCACUCUUCUAAUGUUAGAUUUCUAACUCUGUAUCAUUAUCUGGUCAGAGAACAGUUUCAGGCGGGCAGUUUGACUGGGGCGGUCGCCUCCCAAAUGGUAACGGAGGCGUACAAAGGUUUCCUCUGAACGUGUAGAAAUCGUAUCUAGAGUGUAAAGGCAUAAGGAAGCUUGACUGUGAGACUUACAAGUCGAGCAGGGACGAAAGUCGGUCUUAGUGAUCUGACGGUACUGAGUGGAAAGGCCGUCACUCAACGGAUAAAAGUUACUCUAGGGAUAACAGGCUGA